UACGGAGGAUGCAAGCGUUAUCCGGAAUGAUUGGCGUAAAGCGUCCGCAGGUGGCUAUGUAAGUCUGCUGUUAAAGAGUGAGGCUCAACCUCAUAAAAGCAGUGGAAACUACAUGGCUAGAGUGCGUUCGGGGCAGAGGGAAUUCCUGGUGUAGCGGUGAAAUGCGUAGAGAUCAGGAAGAACACCGGUGGCGAAAGCGCUCUGCUAGGCCGCAACUGACACUCAUGGACGAAAGCUAGGGGAGCGAAUGGG
rnacentral:rRNA from 1 species